rnacentral:rRNA from 2 species
GAGUUUGAUCUUGGCUCAGAUUGAACGCUGGCGGCAUGCCUUACACAUGCAAGUCGAACGGCAGCACGGGAGCUUGCUCCUGGUGGCGAGUGGCGAACGGGUGAGUAAUGCAUCGGAACGUAUCCUGGAGUGGGGGAUAACGUAGCGAAAGUUACGCUAAUACCGCAUAUUCUGUGAGCAGGAAAGCGGGGGACCUUCGGGCCUCGCGCUCUUGGAGCGGCCGAUGUCGGAUUAGCUAGUUGGUGAGGUAAAGGCUCACCAAGGCGACGAUCCGUAGCAGGUCUGAGAGGAUGAUCUGCCACACUGGAACUGAGACACGGUCCAGACUCCUACGGGAGGCAGCAGUGGGGAAUUUUGGACAAUGGGGGCAACCCUGGUCCAGCCAUGCCGCGUGAGUGAAGAAGGCCUCGGUUGUAAG